GAGGUGUGCUCAGAGCAGGGGGCCUGAAGAAAUGUCUCCCCUGUUUACAACACACCCAACAGGAAUCUGGGUUCACUGUGAGAAGGGGCACAAAACUUGAGGCCUUCAUCCUAUGAGCAAAUACCCUUCACGU
ensembl:snoRNA